UACAGAGGGUGCGAGCGUUGUUCGGAAUUAUUGGGCGUAAAGGGCGCGUAGGCGGUGCGGUAAGUCACCUGUGAAAUCUCCCGGCUCAACCGGGAGCUUGCAGGCGAAACUGCCGUGCUGGAGUGUGGGAGAGGUGCGUGGAAUUCCCGGUGUAGCGGUGAAAUGCGUAGAAAUCGGGAGGAACACCUGUGGCGAAAGCGGCGCACUGGACCACAACUGACGCUGAGGCGCGAAAGCUAGGGGAGCAAACGGG
rnacentral:rRNA from 1 species